GAUUGAACGCUGGCGGUAUGCUUAACACAUGCAAGUCGAACGGAAACGAUACUAGCUUGCUAGUAGGCGUCGAGUGGCGGACGGGUGAGUAACGCGUAGGAAUCUGCCUGAUAGUGGGGGAUAGCCCGAAGAAAUUCGGAUUAAUACCGCAUAAUCUAUUCGUAGUAAAGUGGGGGACUUUCGAGCCUCACGCUAUCAGAUGAGCCUGCGUAAGAUUAGCUUGUUGGUAGGGUAAAAGCCUACCAAGGCGACGAUCUUUAGCUGGUCUGAGAGGAUGAUCAGCCACAUCGGGACUGAGACACGGCCCGAACUCCUACGGGAGGCAGCAGUGGGGAAUAUUGGACAAUGGGGGCAACCCUGAUCCAGCAAUACCGCGUGUGUGAAGAAGGCCUGAGGGUUGUAAAGCACUUUCAAUUGUGAAGAAAAGUUAGCGGUUAAUAACCGUUAGCCUUGACGUUAACUUUAGAAGAAGCACCGGCUAACUCCGUGCCAGCAGCCGCGGUAAUACGGAGGGUGCAAGCGUUAAUCGGAAUUACUGGGCGUAAAGCGUGCGUAGGCGGUUUAUUAAGUCAGAUGUGAAAGCCCCCGGGCUUAACCUGGGAACUGCAUUUGAAACUGGUCAACUAGAGUAUGGUAGAGGAAAGUGGAAUUUCUGGUGUAGCGGUGAAAUGCGUAGAUAUCAGAAGGAACAUCAAUGGCGAAGGCAGCUUUCUGGACCAAUACUGACGCUGAGGUACGAAAGCGUGGGUAGCAAACAGGAUUAGAUACCCUGGUAGUCCACGCCGUAAACGAUGAUAACUAGCCGUUGGGGGGAUUUACCCUUUAGUGGCGAAGCUAACGCGUUAAGUUAUCCGCCUGGGGAGUACGGCCGCAAGGUUAAAACUCAAAGGAAUUGACGGGGACCCGCACAAGCGGUGGAGCAUGUGGUUUAAUUCGAUGCAACGCGAAGAACCUUACCUGGUCUUGACAUCCUGCGAACUUUCUAGAAAUAGAUUGGUGCCUUCGGGAACGCAGUGACAGGUGCUGCAUGGCUGUCGUCAGCUCGUGUCGUGAGAUGUUGGGUUAAGUCCCGUAACGAGCGCAACCCCUAUCCUUAUUUGCCAGCACAUCAUGGUGGGAACUAUAAGGAGACUGCCGGUGAUAAACCGGAGGAAGGCGGGGACGACGUCAAGUCAUCAUGGCCCUUACGACCAGGGCUACACACGUGCUACAAUGGGAAGGACAAAGAGCCGCGAAGCCGCGAGGUGUAGCUAAUCUCAUAAACCUUUUCGUAGUCCGGAUUGGAGUCUGCAACUCGACUCCAUGAAGUCGGAAUCGCUAGUAAUCGUAGAUCAGAAUGCUACGGUGAAUACGUUCCCGGGUCUUGUACACACCGC
rnacentral:rRNA from 1 species